GGCUCAAUGGUCUAGUGGUAUGAUUCGUGCUUCGGGGUUUAUCACAAACUCCAACUCCUGGAAACAGUGAGUUUAUAUAAAGAAUGUGCGAGGUCUCGGGUUCGAUCCCCGAUUGAGCCC